GAGUAUCAUAAAAUACCCUUGAUUUUGUUUUCUUUUGGGUGGUAUUAGAGUGAUAUAAUGGACAAUAAUAAUGAAGAGGUUCCAUCAGCUCCUUCAACACCAGCAACGCCAGGGACUCCAGGUGCUCCUCUCUUUGGUGGGUUUAGAGCGGAGAGAUCAGGAACUAAUAGAAAAUCACUUCUCAAGGGCUGCAAAUGCUUCAGUGUUGAAGAAUGGGCUCUGGAGGAAGGCAGAUUGCCUCCUGUCUCUUGCUCAAUCCCUCCUCCUCCUGUCUCACUUGCAAGAAAGGUGGGAGCUGAGUUCAUAGGCACUCUUAUACUGAUAUUUGCUGGAACAGCCACGGCCAUUGUGAACCAAAAAACACAAGGCACAGAAACACUAAUAGGCCUCGCUGCUUCUACUGGUUUAGCUGUAAUGAUAGUAAUAUUAUCAACAGGCCG
rnacentral:misc_RNA from 1 species